AGUGAACGCUGGCGGUGGGCCUAACACAUGCAAGUCGAACGGCAGCACAGUAAGAGCUUGCUCUUACGGGUGGCGAGUGGCGGACGGGUGAGGAAUACAUCGGAAUCUACUUUUUCGUGGGGGAUAACGUAGGGAAACUUACGCUAAUACCGCAUACGACCUACGGGUGAAAGCAGGGGAUCUUCGGACCUUGCGCGAUUGAAUGAGCCGAUGUCGGGUUAGCUAGUUGGCGGGGUAAAGGCCCACCAAGGCGACGAUCCGUAGCUGGUCUGAGAGGAUGAUCAGCCACACUGGAACUGAGACACGGUCCAGACUCCUACGGGAGGCAGCAGUGGGGAAUAUUGGACAAUGGGCGCAAGCCUGAUCCAGCCAUACCGCGUGGGUGAAGAAGGCCUUCGGGUUGUAAAGCCCUUUUGUUGGGAAAGAAAAGCAGCAGGUUAAUACCCCGCUGUUCUGACGGUACCCAAAGAAUAAGCACCGGCUAACUUCGUG
rnacentral:rRNA from 1 species